UACGAAGGGGGCUAGCGUCGCUCGGAAUCACUGGGCGUAAAGCGCACGUAGGCGGCUUUUUAAGUCAGGGGUGAAAUCCUGGAGCUCAACUCCAGAACUGCCUUUGAUACUGAGAAGCUUGAGUUCGGGAGAGGUGAGUGGAACUGCGAGUGUAGAGGUGAAAUUCGUAGAUAUUCGCAAGAACACCAGUGGCGAAGGCGGCUCUCUGGCCCGAUACUGACGCUGAGGUGCGAAAGCGUGGGGAGCAAACAGG
rnacentral:rRNA from 1 species